AUGCACGAGCCUUCUGGGAGAGGAGCGUUCCUAGGAGGGCACAGGAUUCUGUCCCACGAGAGGGAAUUCUGCAGACAGCACUUCCGGAAGCUCUGCUAUCAGGACGCACCUGGGCCUCGGAAAGCUCUUGCCCAGCUCUGGGAGCUUUGCUGUGGGUGGCUGAGGCCAGAAUGCCACACCAAGGAGCAGAUCUUAGACCUGCUGGUGCUGGAACAGUUCCUGAGCAUUCUCCCUAAGGACCUUCAAGCAUGGGUGCAGGCACAUCGUCCAGAGACUGGAGAGGAGGCUGUGACUGUGCUGGAGGAUCUGGAAAAAGAGCUCAAUGAGCCCCGAGCGGAGGUGUUAGGAAAUUCAGAAGGAAAGGACAUAUUCUUGGACAAAUUGGCCCCCUUGGGAAAGCCAUAUAAGUCACUGAACUGUCCAGCCCCAGCCAAAGAAGACCUCACUAGAGCAGGAAUCUGGUAAUGAAAGGAAGGAAGGGGACAGUUCAAGAUGUGAAAAUCAGGAAGAAGGAGAGGAUGUACCUAGCCCAUGGAUGUGGAUCCUUGGGGAUAUAUACAGCAGAGUUAGCAAAGCUGUCUCUCAGCAUCCUGACUCCAAAGAUGCUACUGAAAGUCAGGGAAGAGUACAGUGGCAGCAGAGGGGAAGAAGACACUGCAAAUGCAGGGACUGUGGGAACCCUUUCAGUUGUAGCUCAGACCUUAGGAAGCACCAGAGAACUCACACUGGGGAGAAGCCCCACAAAUGUGACGAGUGUGGAAAAGCCUUCAUUCAACACUCACAUCUUGUUGGACACCACAGAGUACACACUGGAGUGAAGCCCUAUAAAUGUAAAGAGUGCGGGAAAGAUCUCAGUGGACACACACGUCUUAUUCAACAUCAGUGAAUCCACACAGGUGAAAAACCCUAUGAGUGCGGUGAGUGUGGAAGGCCUUUCUGUGUAAGUUCAGCUCUGGUCAGACAUCAGAGAAUUCAUACAGCAAUAAGCUCUACUAAAAAGAAGUCACCAAAGUUCUUUAAUGCUCAGGCCUAAUUAGUUGUCAGAAUCUGCCUUAGAGACCAUGAGUGUCCUUAAUGUGGGCAAAGCUUCAGUCAUCAGUAAAAACUCUGACCCAGAGACUCCGUUUUAUUUCUAAUUUAGUUCAGUUUUUUGAGAAGCAUCAAGAGUCAUUUCAGAAGGCUUUAACCUGAUGUAUUAGCUUAUACAUAUGAUAUAAUCUUAAUUACCACUCUUGAGAAGCUAAGGCAGGAGGACUGCCCUGAGUUGAGGGCCAACCUAGGCUUCAGAAAGACUGUCUUUUUUAAAAAAAGGCUGACAACAUUACUCACUUGUUUUAACCCAAGAUUGAUGUUGCUGUUUGGACAUGAACUCGGCCAUUCAGUGUAUGACACCAGGUAAGACAUUCAGCUUUUCUCUGCCUUUGUUUUUCCUCGGUGAUAAGAGAGGCCCAUCAGCUAUGUUUUGACAAGUUAAGAUUGAUAAAAGUCAUCUUUGAAAUUAAAAACUAAACCAAUGCUAACUGCUUUCCACCAUGA